CGGGUAUCGGAUUAUUGGGCGUAAGAGCUCGUAGGCGGUUUGUCGCGUCUGCUGUGAAAUCCCGAGGCUCAACCUCGGGCCUGCAGUGGGUACGGGCAGACUAGAGUGCGGUAGGGGAGAUUGGAAUUCCUGGUGUAGCGGUGGAAUGCGCAGAUAUCAGGAGGAACACCGAUGGCGAAGGCAGAUCUCUGGGCCGUAACUGACGCUGAGGAGCGAAAGGGUGGGGAGCAAACAGGCUUAGAUACCCUGGUAGUCCACCCCGUAAACGUUGGGAACUAGUUGUGGGGUCCAUUCCACGGAUUCCGUGACGCAGCUAACGCAUUAAGUUCCCCGCCUGGGGAGUACGGCCGCAAGGCUAAAACUCAAAUGAAAUUGACGGA
rnacentral:rRNA from 1 species